UCAAUUUCUGCUGCCCCUUCUCAUGCCAACAUGCCUAAUAAUUUCGUUUCCUUUGAUUAAUUCUAUUUAGUAAGUAUCUUAUUUGAAAAUUCCAAAGUGGAAAAAUGAAAUUAAAUACGAGAUGAGACAUGAUUUGAGAAUCCGUAACGGAACAUAAAUGUUCCAGCACAACACAUCCCAAUCAACUCCUCGCAAUCAAUGGCUGUGCAGAUGGCGACGGUUUCAAUUGCCAAAACCUCUCUUCAAAAAAUUCCUUAACUCUUCUUCAUCUUCAUCAUUCCUCUCCUAAAACUUGACAACAACAACAAAAAAAAAAAAUCAGAUCAAAAUAGAAACAAAUCUUCAAAUUUGGAAUGUGAUGGAGCUCAAGUGUAGUCUCGUUUGCAUUCUACUUCUUCUCCUCCUUUCCGGGCCGGGCUCUUCAGCAGGGAGAAUGCAUGCGAAGAAUAUGGGAUCAGAGGUUUAUGAUAUUGAUUACAGAGGGCCGGAGACGCACACAUACAAUCCGCCGCCGAAUCGGGCCGGGCCGAGAAUCCCUCAUCACGCCGUCUCGGCCCGUCACAAGUCGAAACGGAAUGUAAGGAGAAAUCUUGCUAGGAAGAAUUCUAGAUCAUGAAUUUACGAUGAUGGGAUGAGUGAAUGCUCCUUCAUAUUCUUUAUCUAUUUUUAUGGUCACUUUUUUGAAAAAGAAAAAAAUAAUCUAUUUGUGUGAUUUUUUUCUUUUCUUUUCUUUUUUUUCACUUCGGUUAAGUGAGGUUUAUGCAACGAACUUUGAAGUCUUUUUAAAAAAUGGCUCGAAUUUUUGUUUACUUUUUUAAGAUCUUCAACUUUGUAGAAAGUUUUAAUUUUGGCCCGUGAUCGAAAAGUUGAAUGAGCUUGCUUGAAUAUAUAUAUAUAUACUAAAUGAAGGGGAAAUUAAAUUGACUUUAUAAUUAUGUAAUUGAUAUGCUACGUGAGAAUCUCGCCUUUGAUUCAAUUUUUUGAAGUCGAAUUUUCUAUUACGGGCCAAAAUUACAACUUUUAAUAAAGUUAAAGAUUGUUAAAAAAAUAAAAGAAAACUCGGAUCAUUUUCUAGAAAAAGCUCCAAAAUUCGAUAUAUAAACUAUAAAUUCGAUGUAAAAAGCUUCUUAUGUAAUUGAGCACUAUCCUAAGUUUGGAUGACGAUGCAGAUUCUAUUUCGUUUUAUGAUUAUGGUGUAAUUUUUUUUUCCUGAUGUAAUAGUAUAAUGUUAAUUAUUACUAUAAAAGAGAUGUUGUAAUUAAGGGAUUUAAGAGCAUAUUUCACCUAGUUAUAUAGUAUUCGUUGCAAAA